CCUACGGGUGGCAGCAGUGGGGAAUAUUGGACAAUGGGGGAAACCCUGAUCCAGCGACGCCGCGUGAGUGAAGAAGUAUUUCGGUACGUAAAGCUCUAUCAGCAGGGAAGAAAAUUACGGUACCUGACUAAUAACCCCCGGCUAACUACGUGCCAGCAGCCGCGGUAAUACGGAGGGGGCAAGCGUUAUCCGGAAUUACUGGGGGUAACGGGAGCGGAGACGGCAGUGCAAGGCUGGAGGGAAAUGCCGGGGCCCAACCCCGGAACUGCUCUGGAAACUGGGAAGCUGGAGUGCAGGAGAGGUAAGCGGAAUUCCUGGUGUAGCGGUGAAAUGCGUAGAUAUCAGGAGGAACACCGGCGGCGAAGGCGGCUUACUGGACUGUAACUGACGUUGAGGCUCGAAGGCGUGGGGAGCAAACAGGAUUAGAUACCCGAGUAGUC
rnacentral:rRNA from 1 species